rnacentral:rRNA from 1 species
AGAGCGAACGCUGGCGGCAGGCCUAACACAUGCAAGUCGAGCGCCCGUAGCAAUACGGAAGCGGCAGACGGGAGAGUAACACGUGGGAACGCGCCCUUCGGUUCGGAAUAACUCAGGGAAACUUGAGCUAAUACCGGAUACGCCCUUACGGGGAAAGAUUUAUUGCCGAAGGAACGGCCCGCGUCCGAUUAGCUAGUUGGUGAGGUAAUGGCUCACCAAGGCGACGAUCGGUAGCUGGUCUGAGAGGAUGACCAGCCUCACUGGGACUGAGACACGGCCCAGACUCCUACGGGAGGCAGCAGUGGGGAAUAUUGGACAAUGGGCGCAAGCCUGAUCCAGCCAUGCCGCGUGGAUGAUGAAGGCCUUAGGGUUGUAAAGUCCUUUUAACGGGGAGAUAAUGACGGUACCCGUAGAAUAAGCCCCGGCUAACUUCGCGCCAGCAGCCGC